rnacentral:rRNA from 1 species
AUUGAACGCUGGCGGCAUGCCUUACACAUGCAAGUCGAACGGCAGCACGGGAGCUUGCUCCUGGUGGCGAGUGGCGAACGGGUGAGUAAUACAUCGGAACGUACCCAGGAGUGGGGGAUAACGUAGCGAAAGUUACGCUAAUACCGCAUAUUCUGUGAGCAGGAAAGCGGGGGAUCGCAAGACCUCGCGCUCUUGGAGCGGCCGAUGUCGGAUUAGCUAGUUGGUGAGGUAAAGGCUCACCAAGGCGAGGAUCCGUAGCAGGUCUGAGAGGAUGAUCUGCCACACUGGGACUGAGACACGGCCCAGACUCCUACGGGAGGCAGCAGUGGGGAAUUUUGGACAAUGGGGGCAACCCUGAUCCAGCCAUGCCGCGUGAGUGAAGAAGGCCUUCGGGUUGUAAAGCUCUUUCGGCGGGGAAGAAAUGGCAACGGCUAAUAUCCGUUGUUGAUGACGGUACCCGCAUAAGAAGCACCGGCUAACUACGUGCCAGCCGCCGCAGUAACAC